rnacentral:rRNA from 1 species
CCUACGGGAGGCUGCAGUAGGGAAUCUUUCACAAUGGGCGAAAGACUGAUGGAGCAAAGCCGCGUGCAGGAUGAAGGCAUUCGGGUUGUAAACUGCUUUUAUAAGCGAGAAAUAUGAUGGUAACUUAUGAAUAAGGAUCGGCUAACUACGUGCCAGCAGCCGCGGUCAUACGUAGGAUCCGAGCAUAAUCCGGAGUGACUGGGUGUAAAGAGUUGCGUAGGUGGCAUAAUAAGUAGCUAGUGAAAUCUGGUGGCUCAACCAUUCAGACUAUUAGCUAAACUGUUAAGCUCGAGACCGUUAGGGGUAACUGGAAUGUCUAGUGUAGGAGUGAAAUCCGUAGAUAUUAGAAGGAACACCAAUAGCGUAGGCAGGUUGCUGGGACGGUUCUGACACUAAGGCACGAAAGCGUAGGGAGCAAACGGGAUUAGAUACCCUUGUAGUC